rnacentral:rRNA from 1 species
UAGUCCACGCCGUAAACGAUGAUCACCCGCUGUCUGCGAUACACAGUAGGCGGCUGAGCGAAAGCAUUAAGUGAUCCACCUGGGGAGUACGAUCGCAAGGUUGAAACUCAAAGGAAUUGACGGGGGCCCGCACAAGCGGAGGAACAUGUGGUUUAAUUCGAUGAUACGCGAGGAACCUUACCUGGGCUUAAAUGUAGGUUGCAUAAAUUAGAGAUAGUUUUUCCCUUCGGGGCCACCUACAAGGUGCUGCAUGGUUGUCGUCAGCUCGUGCCGUGAGGUGUCGGGUUAAGUCCCAUAACGAGCGCAACCCCUAUCGUUAGUUGCCAGCGGGUAAUGCCGGGGACUCUAGCGAGACUGCCACCGUAAGGUGAGAGGAAGGUGGGGAUGACGUCAAAUCAGCACGGCCCUUAUGUCCAGGGGCUACACACGUGUUACAAUGGGCAGGGUACAAAGGGGCAGGC